UGCCCACCAGCAUAGGAGGUCCCGCCUGCCCUGUGACCAAAAGUUUAACGGCCGCGGUAUUUUAACCGUGCAAAGGUAGCGCAAUCAAUUGUCUUUUAAAUGAAGACCUGUAUGAAUGGCAUAACGAGGGUUUAACUGUCUCUUUUUUCAGGUCAAUGAAACUGAUCUGUCCGUGCAGAAGCGGACAUAUUAACACAAGACGAGAAGACCCUAUGGAGCUUUAGACGCCCACCAACCACGAAAAGCAGCCUACCUAAACAGAUGCUCUAAACAACGCGGUCCUGGUACAAACGUCUUCGGUUGGGGCGACCGCGGAGGAGAACAAAGCCUCCGAGAGGAAUGGGAACAAACCCUAAAACCAAGAGCCACAGCUCUAAGUCACAAAAAAUUUGACCGACAAUGAUCCGGCUUACUGCCGAUCAACGGACCAAGUUACCCUAGGGAUAACAGCGCAAUCCCCUCCCAGAGUCCAUAUCGACGAGGGGGUUUACGACCUCGAUGUUGGAUCAGGACAUCCUAAUGGUGCAGCCGCUAUUAAGGGUUCGUUUGUUCAACGAUUAAA
rnacentral:rRNA from 1 species